UUGAAGAAAAGUGGUACACAACAGCUGGAUCGAUCUGCUCGGCCAACAAGCAGCCUCUCCAUACAAGAACAGUCGUCCCUGGAUCUCUGCUCCGCCAGCAAGUAGCUUCUCCUCCAUAUAACCACAUCUGUAGAUUGAUCGGCUCUUCCAACAAAGGGGUUGUUCCACUGCUUGCGAUUAAAUAAUCCACAACCAUUUUAUCGAUGUUGUUGGACUAUUGUGGGGAAAUUUCUUCGACAGUAAUACGUAACAAUUUAAUCAUUUUUCCCCUAACUAUACAAUUUCUAUUAUUAUGCUCCUUUGUUUUCCAUUUUUAUUUUUUAUUUUGUGAUUAUUCAGGUUACCUUGCAUCUGUCAAGCACCUUUGUAUUUUAAGGUUUUAGUAUUCUAUAAUGUAACAUGGAAAGUUUAGUAGUACAUUUGCUUCACUGAAUCACUACAGAUAAUUCCUAUCACUGAAUGCUAUUUAGUGAUUCAAUGAUUAUAUAUAUAUUUUGCGUACUUGGGGUACUAGAUGAUAAGAUGAAAUAUAACCUCAGAUAAUUCCCAAUUUAUCAAAAGUUUGGUGAUCCCUUUAGUCAGCCUUGUGAGCAUGAUUCAGUGAAGCAAUGGCUCAUAUGGAGAUUUUUUUUUUUAUCAUAUGCAACACGGUGUUUUCAUAUAGAUUCUUUUUGUGUGAUUCUUGAGGCUUUGGCAAUUCUUUCUGUAACCAUCAGUGAUGUAAGUGCCAGCUACAGUUUGUACAGGUCCCAGUCUUCUUUGAUUUUGUUUACCAAAUAUUACCUGACCUGAGUUCACAAUUUUAAGUCAUAAUAGUAUGAUCUCAAAAUUCUCUAAUUAACUUAAAAAUAAGUUACUGUCUAUUUUAUCUCAAACUUACAUUGAUUCAUAUAUCAAGUUUAUCUUCCUCAUGUACUGAGAAACUGCAUAAUUUAUCAACUUUUCAUGAAUCCCAUUUCCUCAUAUGAGGUACCAUCAUGUCUUUGUAUCUUAGGUGAAUCCUGUUUGUUUUUUUAGAUAUGAUUAUCAUCUUCAAACUUCCAUCUGUACUACAUAUAUAUAUCGAGUAUUUUCAGUAUUGUUCUUCUUGCCCCCAUAGGUUUGGAAGCUAGCGUUUGAUAAAUAAUAAACUGAGUUCGGGAAUAGCUAGCCUACAGCAGAUGAGAAAAAAAACAUAUACAACCAUUCAGCUCUUGCCACUGACUUUACCAUUAACCUUAUCCUAUUGGUUCAUCGUAAAUAAAUAUACUCCUAUUUUCUGUCAGGUACUAUCGUGCUGUUUUACAUGAGGUCUCAACUCUCAAUGCACUGAAAGUGAAGCAUUGUGCAAAAAGUUGCCCCACUAUCAUCCAGAAUUUCAGACCGCAGUUUGUAUUGCGGCAAUUUCCCUUCUUUACAUACUAUUGUUUUUAUCUCACAAAGUGUACCUAGAUUUUUAAAUUCUAUUUCAAUACAAAUAUCCCGCAGCAACGCGCGGGGUAUCAUUCAGUGUUAUAUA